UACGGGGGGAGCAAGCGUUGUUCGGAUUUACUGGGCGUAAAGGGCGCGUAGGCGGUCAGCACAAGUCAGUUGUGAAAUCUCCGGGCUUAACUCGGAAAGGUCAACUGAUACUGUGCGACUAGAGUGCGGAAGGGGCAACUGGAAUUCUCGGUGUAGCGGUGAAAUGCGUAGAUAUCGAGAGGAACACCUGCGGCGAAGGCAGCCCCCUGGGUCGACACUGACGCUCAGGCACGAAAGCGUGGGGAGCAAACAGG
rnacentral:rRNA from 1 species